rnacentral:lncRNA from 1 species
UUACCAUUCACGCUCCAAACUUCCAAAGCAGAACCCUAAAAGAAACUCUCCAUCUCCAUUCUCAUUUCUCCAGCACUCAGCAGCCGGCAACCAUCGCCCAGCAGCCAUCGUCUGUUGUGUUCGCCUGGUCCAUUCAUCGUUCUCAUCUAGUCAUCUGUUCUGUUCGUUUGUUGUCCGCCGGCAACCAUCGCCCAGCAGCCGUUAACCAGCAGCCGUCAACCAGCAGCCACAUCAGUUCUGUUCGUCUGUUGUCCGCCCAGCAGCCAUCGUCCAGCAGCCAUCAGUUCUGUUCGCCUGUUUCUGAUUCAUCGAUUGAUUCACGGGUUCUGAUUCAACUUAUCGAUACCCAUAUCUUUCAAUCGAAAUGUCAUGUGCUUGCCUUUAAGUGAUUUAGCUCAUGUGGAUGUACUGUUACUGUCGUUCCUUUGUAUUUUGGUCUUCUAAAAUCAGAAAGUCAGAAUCACCCAAGGCUUUUGGAUUCAUUUAAUCAGAUAUGAAGGAGGUUGUUUAUUGCAAGCUGGAAGAAAUUCGUCAGAUGAGAGCGGCUCUGAAUCUAGCGAAACCUCAUCUGGACCUGAUCUAACUUCGCCUCGAAACCCUAGCGUUUGCCAAUCUGUAUCAAGAUUCCUCCAUGUUAACCUUCAAAAGGUAGAAGAUUCAAGGAUCUUGAUACAUUGUUUGUAAGGUGGCUUCUCUCAUGUUCCAGCAGUGUAAAAACAACAUUACAACUAUCGAUUGUCAGCCGUCUGGACCGGCUGGCGGUAUGCUUGUUUUUGGAUGAAGCAGGCUCUGGGUCGGUGGCUGAACAAUCUAAAGACAACCCAAUGCUCCUAGAUUGUCAGCCGUCUCCAACAGUUACUGAUUAAACAUCAAGUUGAAAUCGAAGGGAAGCAGCAAAGGCAAAGCCAGCUGCCAAGCCGGCUGCUAAAACAAAGCCGGCUGCAAAGGCAAAGCCAGCUGCCAAGCCUAAUACGACUGUUUGAAUGUUUGGAAUUGAAGAAUGAAGAUCUUGAGAAAGAAAGGCAUUUGGGAACUUGGAUUUUGAAACUAUUUGGAUAUUAUGAUUUGACUUUUAUGGAUUUCGUUUUAAGUUUGU